AAGGGGGAAAUGAAAUCCUCUUAAAAUUCUAAAAUAUUUUAAUACCCCGCUUCCCCCUUGAUUCUCUUCUUCCUUUCUCUCUACAAACCCUAAUCACCAUACGAUCUCUGCUAUACACCUCGAAAACUCAUAUAAUCGUUCUAUAAUUUUUUUCUUAAAAACUCGUGUUCCCUCUCUUUCAUUUUCACUUCCAUCCCUCGAAUUUUCCUCCUGGUUCUGCCCUCUUUCCUCGUCCUCAACUCAUCCAUUCUUCUUCCAAUGAAUUUAUUUGCCACACCAGCAGCUCCCGCCGAUACACCAUCAUCGGCUCCAGAUAACCCUACCGCCGACAUGGAUUCCUGUAUGAAGAAAUCAAUCAACCUUCGUUUUCAUCGAUCCAUACAAGUAGGACAAAGCUCGAAAAUGGUAGUAGUUCAAAGAGUCAAUUUGGUUUCAUAGGGUUUAUGGUAUCAACUCAGGGUUUGGGUUCAUGUCCGCUUUCUAAGGAGCCCCAAAACCUGAUCCUUACAUGAUCAAGAUCAUCUACCACGCCAUUAGGGAGCCAAAUCGUAGAACCAAGAAGAUAUAGAUGAUGAUUGCACUCGAAUUAUUCUCUAUUUCAUUGACCAUCAAGCUUUGGUUCCAGAAUAGAAGAUUUUGUUAUCUACUUUUUGGUGGGAUUUCUAUCAGUUUCAAUUUUAAUUUAAGAUGAACUGAUCAAGUGCACGUGAGGUGUUUGAUGAAAUGCUCGAGUGAGUGUAGACAAUAAUUUCUUUCAUCUUUUGGCUGUGUAAAGAUGGAGGUGGUCAGAUGGGUAAGGAUGGAACCAGUAAUGUUUCAUAUACCCUAAAUUGUAGACUUUUGUUUGGUGAAUCACCAUCAUAUAGUAUGGUUGGAUGAGGACUCAAGUGGCCUAUCAUGGAACCAACUAUUGAUAUCCCUGAUGCUCAUGGCUCUGUGAAGAAUUUGGAUUCUGAGUUCUAGUUCUUUGUUUAUUGGUUAAUCAUGUUGAUGUCAUACUUUAUACACAAAUUUUACAUAUUUAACUUUGUUUCCUUCACUUUUCCCUCUUCUAGACUCUCAUCAGUGUUCUAGUCUAAUGUUGAUGGAUGUGAAAUGAUAAGGUAAAGAGGGGUUUCUUGAUGAAAUUAUAAAAAUGAUCACUAUAUCUUCACUGGUAAACUUAUCUAUUUUUUCCUUUUUAAAUAAAAUAACCCUACCCUUUGCUGACAGUUUGUAAUUUAUGUAGGUAGAUUCACUUUUUUAUGAUCAUACGGAUUUUCUUGAUGAAUUACCAAAUUUUUUUAUCAUAUUCUGCUGCUGUUGCAUCUGCACAUCAAGCUUCAUUAGGGCAACAUGCAUAUGAUCGGAGCUGAGGUGGGGUCCAACGCAAACUGGCACAGGUGGAUAAGCAACGAGGGAUAGGGUCAAUGGUCCACAUGUUGAAAGGGACAUGAUUGUUGAUUGUCCUGAUAUGGAUGAUAAACCAAUUAUGAAACUUCACAAGGAUUAGAGGCAGAAGGAGAAUAGGGAGAGGAGAAAUAGUGAUCAUCCUGAUCUUAAAAACAGGGAUAGGGAUAUCCAACAAAAAAUUGCAUGUAAAGUGGAAGAUUUUGGAGUACAUUCAGAUUCAGCUCCAUAUGGUGAUAAAGAUGCCCUCAAAAGAAACCAAAAAUGAAAAGCAGGAUUUUAAGCUACAUUUGGACAAGCAGAAAAUCAAAACUUAUUUAUACACCCAACACAAGAGAGGGAGAGACAGACAGCUAGUUACCUCCAAGCCAGCAUAAACUGCAACAAAAAGUGCAUAUCCAGCAGGGCCAUAUCCUGUGAGAAAGAUUAUCAAGCAUUCUUGAAAUGCCUUCAUAUAUACGGUUGCUGAUUUAUUUGGGAAGCAUGCAGAUCUUAUGGAAGGAUCCAAUGCAUUUUUGGAACGUUGUGAAAACAUAGGUGGCUUCAGAUUAUAUAAUUUUUGUUUUACUCUUUGAGAACUUCUUUUGUAUUGUUACUAAUUUAUCUUGUUUGCAGAUGAAAAAAUGGAGGGUGUAUGAAUUAAGACAUGUCAUUUUCCACUAUUGCCCUUAUAUUUUUUCCAAGCUAUUUGACGUUUUCAUGAUAAUAGGAUUUUAUUUCUUGUUUUAUUUUUCUUAAAUUUCAACAAAUCCCCUGGACAUCAUUUCCUGUCCGUAUACAAAAGUGCAAAAAAAAAAAAGAUAUAAGUCAUACUAUCUAUUAAAUUAUAAUGAAAUCAAAUUCCCUUUUAAUUGCUAUUGUUUUUUAAUUUGUAAUCAACCCUUCAAAUUGUUUUUAAUAUGUAUUAAUUGCUAUUACUUUUUUUUUUAAUUUUUUGUAUUCUUUUUUUUGGAGGCUAUCAUAUUAAUAUGUAAUCCAUUGUUUUUGUAUAUUUUAAUAAGUUAACAUCUCUAUUUAAUAUCUCUAUUUAUUAUCAUUUAAAAAAACAUCUCUAUUUAAUAUUUAGACUAUAUUAAUAGAACAAAAAAAAAUAAACAACACUAUAUACGGAAGAGGCAGUAACUCAACAGACCCAAAAUCAAAAUCAGUUGUAGGUGUCGAGAUUACACAUCAGCCGCCAGGUCAGCAACCAAAAACCGCCCCUCAACCAGACAGAAACACAUUCCCUCAACAUGGGUUUAGAUUAAUGGGUGGUUUUGGGUUAUAAUCAUGACAAGUGUAUUUUUUCAGCUUAUGUUGGUUGCGAUAGUUAUAAUUUUUUUAAUGGAUUCAUGGAGGUACCUAUGUUGGUAGCUAAGCUUCUUGUUAUCUACAAGCAUAGAGAUUUACAUUUCUACCCCAAUUGGGUUUACACACUUCCUUCAUGGAUUUUAAGUAUUCCAUCAUCAAUCAUAGAAUCUGGUGUUUGGGUUGUGGUCACAUACUAUCUUGUUGGCUUUGAUCCCUAAUUUUCUAGAUGUUUGAAGGAGUUUGGGGUGUAUUUCUCUUUGCAUCAAAUAUCAACUGAGGUUAGAUAAACAGGAAACCCUUCAGGCUUCUCCCCUUUGGAGUUUAACCAGAAUUAACAAAUGAUGAGAUGAAAAUUCUUAGAAGACUUGGAAGGCCUUUACCAUGUCAUUUUGCUUUAGGUAGAAAUAGGAAACAUCAAGGAUUGGAUGUAGCUAUUCUAAAGCUUUGGGAGAAAUGUGAGAUUGCAAAGAUUGGUGUUAAGAAAGGAGUACAUAAUACUAACACUGAGCUAAUGGCUAAAGAAUUACAGUGGUUAACUGGGGGAACCUUAAUUACACGCGAUAAGGAGUAUAUUGUUCUUUAUAGAGUACCCAAUUCCUUCAACAAACACUUUUUUUAAGAACAAAGAUCGGUUACUCCAGAGACUCAGAUCAGAUGUGUCGCCAUGAACCUCGUGUUCUUCUGCACAUACAAAUUUGAGUGUAAAAUUCCAGAGUCAUCGUAGCAGGGACUAAAGAAAUCCUAUGCUUCUUGUUGCAUCUUCAGCAAUAGAUGCUACUGGUUAGUCCAGUUUAGGUUUAGAUGGAAAGAAGAUUGAAUCUGAGGGUAAUGUUCUUCUUGCUUCUAUUAAAAACAUGCAGUUAUUUUCUCUUUUGGGCAUGUUUUAAAGAUAGCAAUGUUUGACAAAAGUGGUGGAGUUCAAGCUCUAAUUCAAUACCCUGACAGCUAUUGUAGCCAAGGAAGCAUUGGAAGGACACUGUAUAUAUGAUGGAGGGUUUUGCAGCUGAAGAAAGCCUUUAAUAAAAAUUAUAUAAAUUUACUGGAAGCCUGUAUCAAGUCUAACUACCCAUGUGUCCCAUUGGAGGAAGCUCAAGGUUCUUUACUUCUCUUACACUGCAAUAAUCCAUCUUCACACUUAUUUUGUAGUUAUGUUUUUUUUGUAGGCAAUAUAGAUAUUGUGAGUAAGUUCAUAGAUUUAGAGUCAUUGAGUGGUGUUAUUAAGGAAGAGUGGAGACAAGUAAGGCACACAUUUAAAAAAAUCAGUACAAAUCUUGUUUACAGUGAGGCACACAUUAGCUAGGUUAUUAAAACUAUUAGUUUGUAAAUUUCUGUUACAACUUCUAUUGAUUUGUUUUAUUUUUCUAUAUAUGGAACGAAUAUUUGUAUGACAUUAAAUUUUAUGUAAUGGAUUGUAUUUUUUUGUAUAUGAUAUUUUAUUUUCUAUUAUGAGACAUUAAAUACAAAUUUAAUUUGAAAAUUAGUAAACCUAUAAAUAAUAUUAAUUUUAAACAUUUAAAAUUAUGAUACACAAAAAUGUGUGUCAUCUUCAUUUAUGACAUGACCUUUCUUGACAAGGGCUUUCUUGAUACGUAUUGCGUGUCAUUAACACGCAUGUCAUAAGGUUACGACACGCGAAUGCGUGUCGUCUUCCUUUAUGACAGGGCCUUCCUUGAUACGCAUUGCGUGUCGUAAACGUGCGUCGUCAUUGAGCGUCGUAAAUGCGCGUCGUCUCUCUUUAUGACAGGGCCUUUCUUGACACACAUUUGCGUGUCGUUUGAGCCUUUUACGAAGCGCAAUGAGCGUCUUAAAA